AGGACGAACGCUGGCGGCGUGCUUAACACAUGCAAGUCGAGCGAGGCCCUUCCUUCGGGAAGGUGUCCUAGCGGCGAACGGGUGAGUAACACGUGGGCAACCUGCCCAUAGCUCUGGGAUAAGCGCUGGAAACGGCGUCUAAUACCGGAUACGACACGGGACGGCAUCAUCUCCGUGUGGAAAGAAUUUCGGCUAUGGAUGGGCCCGCGGCCUAUCAGCUUGUUGGUGAGGUAAUGGCUCACCAAGGCUACGACGGGUAACCGGCCUGGGAGGGCGACCGGUCACACUGGGACUGAGACACGGCCCAGACUCCUACGGGAGGCAGCAGUGGGGAAUAUUGCACAAUGGGCGAAAGCCUGAUGCAGCGACGCCGCGUGAGGAUGAAUGCCUUCGGGUUGUAAACCUCUUUCAGUAGGGACGAAGCGAAAGUGACGGUACCUGCAGAGAAGCGCCGGCCACUACGCGCAGCAGCCGCGGU
rnacentral:rRNA from 1 species